rnacentral:rRNA from 1 species
CGGCGUACGGGUGAGUAACACGUGGAUCAUCUACCUUUUAGUGGGGAAUACCGCUGGGAAACCGGCGACAAUACCGCAUAAGCCCGAGAGGGGAAAGCAGCAAUGCGCUAGAAGAGGAGUCCGCGGCUGAUUAGCUAGUUGGUGAGGUAAUGGCUCACCAAGGCGGUGAUCGGUAGCCGGCCUGAGAGGGCACACGGCCACACUGGCACUGAAACACGGGCCAG